rnacentral:rRNA from 1 species
UACAGAGGGUGCGAGCGUUGUCCGGAAUCACUGGGCGUAAAGGGCGCGUAGGUGGCUGUGUAAGUCGGGGGUGAAAUGCUGCGGCUCAACCGCAGGGCUGCCUCCGAGACUGCACGGCUUGAGCACGGUAGAGGCAGGUGGAAUUCCCGGUGUAGCGGUGGAAUGCGUAGAGAUCGGGAAGAACAUCAGUGGCGAAGGCGGCCUGCUGGGCUGUUGCUGACGCUGAGGCGCGACAGCGUGGGGAGCAAACAGG